UACAACUUUCAACAACGGAUCUCUUGGCUCUCGCAUCGAUGAAGAACGCAGCGAAAUGCGAUAAGUAAUGUGAAUUGCAGAAUUCAGUGAAUCAUCGAAUCUUUGAACGCACCUUGCGCCCCUUGGUAUUCCGAGGGGCACGCCUGUUCGAGUGUCGUGAAAUU
rnacentral:rRNA from 1 species